CAAACGACUCUCGGCAACGGAUAUCUCGGCUCACGCAUCGAUGAAGAACGUAGCAAAAUGCGAUACUUGGUGUGAAUUGCAGAAUCCCGUGAACCAUGGAGUUUUUGAACGCAAGUUGCGCCCAAAGCCAUUUGGUUGAGGGCACGUCUGUAUGGGCGUCACGC
rnacentral:rRNA from 1 species